AUUGAACGCUGGCGGCAUGCCUUACACAUGCAAGUCGAACGGCAGCACGGGUGCUUGCACCUGGUGGCGAGUGGCGAACGGGUGAGUAAUACAUCGGAACAUGUCCUGUAGUGGGGAUAGCCCGGCGAAAGCCGGAUUAAUACCGCAUACGAUCUACGGAUGAAAGCGGGGGACCUUCGGGCCUCGCGCUAUAGGGGUGGCCGAUGGCUGAUUAGCUAGUUGGUGGGGUAAAGGCCUAACAAGGCGACGAUCAGUAGCUGGUCUGAGAGGACGACCAGCCACACUGGGACUGAGACACGGCCCAGACUCCUACGGGAGGCAGCAGUGGGGAAUUUUGGACAAUGGGCGAAAGCCUGAUCCAGCAAUGCCGCGUGUGUGAAGAAGGCCUUCGGGUUGUAAAGCACUUUUGUCCGGAAAGAAAUCCUUGGCCCUAAUACGGUCGGGGGAUGACGGUACCGGAAGAAUAAGCACCGGCUAACUACGUG
rnacentral:rRNA from 1 species